UACGGAGGGGGCUAGCGUUGUUCGGAAUUACUGGGCGUAAAGCGCACGUAGGCGGACUGUUAAGUCGGGGGUGAAAUCCUGGGGCUCAACCUCAGAAUUGCCUCCGAUACUGGCAGUCUCGAGUGCGGGAGAGGUGAGUGGAAUUCCCAGUGUAGAGGUGAAAUUCGUAGAUAUUAGGAAGAACACCAGUGGCGAAGGCGGCUCACUGGCCCGUAACUGACGCUGAGGUGCGAAAGCGUGGGGAGCAAACAGG
rnacentral:rRNA from 1 species